UGUACUCGUAGUGGGCGGGGACUAAACCAGAAUGGGCGUGGCCUAAACCGGACGUGGGCGUGGUUUAUCCAUAAAUGGCUGGGGCUUACAUCUGUGCAUUAUUUUCACUUUAAAAAAAAUUUUUAUU